rnacentral:lncRNA from 1 species
GGUAAAUAUUAACAUAGCACCAAAUUUUGUAAUUAAGUAUAAAUGACUAUACAUUUGAAUUUAGUUUAGGGCAAGAUUUUAUACAAGGUCAUAAGAUUAAAUACAGAGUUAUUUGCCCCAUAAAAUUAGUACUCAGUACUAUAAUGAAGACAUACUUUUGCAAAUCAUCAUUCAGCAGAAGUUCUUUAUCCCACAGCUAUAUCUAUCUACAAUUUCAAUUUUAGGAUCUCAAUGCCCUUUAAAAAAUUGUAUGGGCCAGGCGAGGUGGCCCACACCUGUAAUCCCGGCACUCUGGGAGGCUGAGGCAGGCGGAUCACCUGAGACCAGGAGUUCAACAGCAGCCUGGCCAACAUGUUGAAACCCAGUCUCUACUAAAAAUACAAAAAUUAGGCAUGGUGGCACAUGCCUGUAAUCCCAGCUACUCAAGAGGCUGAAGAAGGAGAAUCAUUUGAAACUGGGAGGCGGAGGUUGCAGUGAGCCAAGAUCGCGCCAUUGCACUACAGCCUGGGUGACAAGAGUGGGACUCCAUUUCAAAAAAAAAAAAAUUAUAUGGAUAAGACAUCUAGAAAACUUAAAAAAUGAGUUAGAAAACUCCUCACAAGCUCCCAUGUUCUUAAAUCCAUGGUUUUGUGAACAUAUUCUACAGACCUACUCUGAAUUGUCAUAGCCCUUCCCCACUCCCUGUUAGUCUAAUUUAACACAUCCAGUCACAGCACAUUUGCCUGAAACUUCAGGACUUACAGGCCCCAUCCUGGGACCGCACCAGGGUAGAAACCUAUAACCUGCUCCUGGUCUCACCAUUUUAUGAUUUUUAUGAUAUUGGGUCAUCACUGAACUUUUCUACCUUGAUUUCCUUUAAAAGGAGACACUCCUAGCUAUCCUGCCUGCAUCACAAGAUUCCGAGCAAGGAACUAGUGGAAGCUCUUUGAAAAUCGCCAAGUGCUAGAUACCUGCCAGUAUUAAGAUUAUUGUGAUGGUAGUUAAAAUGGGAAAGCAGGGGGGUUAAGUUAGGGAGUGUUGUCAUGCACCUAGAAAUGAUGGAUUAAAUCAAAGCAAGGAGACGAAAAAGAAGAGAGGUUCAAAGUCCAUGUUCCAUAGAUAACACGCAAGAGGUAUGGAGAAAGGUUCCUAGAGUCACUAGGGCAACCUGAGGGUCAGAAAGAGGCAUGAGAAUCGCUUGAGCCUGGGAGGCCGAUGUUGCAGUGAGCCGAGAUUGCACCACUACACUCCAGCCUGGGCAAUACAGUGAGACUCUGUCUCAAAAAAAACACAAAAAAACAAAAACCACUGUCCCCCGACAAAACGUGCUGUCUGUCUGCUUCUCGCCACUUCUUGGUGAAUAAGACACCCCAGCUUGGAGAGCCAGUAUACUUUUUGCCUCUUUUCCUCUAAAUUGUUUCCUGCAUCUCUUUCCUGCUUAUAGAACCAGAUCCUAUUUUCCAUGGUUUUUUCUGAUCCUUUUCCUUCCAUAACUGCAAACUUUGACCUUUGUACACUGGGAAGGGACCUAGCUGAAACACUUGAAUUGCUAAACCUUAAAGUCUCAGCCCAGGAAUUGACACUGGUGCUUGGGGCUUUUCUCCACAGUCAUCCAAACUCAAACCCCCGCUCUCACUAAAUGCAUCAGGGGCAGGGAAGUGCGAUGUCCUGAAUUUGCUGUCCUUGAACUAAGAGACUCAAGAGAGGGGUGGGUGUUUGGAUUGAGAUCGAUAUCAGAGGUGCCGCGGGGCAGAUGGGAUGUUGAGCGUGUUCUGUAGCUUUGGAUGAACUGUGCGAAUAUGAGCCACUUCUAGAGUGGGACAAUCCUGCCUCUUUGUUCCCAAAUCCGAGGAGGGGAAAGGCUGCUGUGAGCCCACUUCUUUCUCUCCUACUUUACAUUUCCUGCCCUGCUAUUAGAAUUCCCAUUUUGGUAAAAGGAAACGUAUUCCAGAAACAGUUCCAGAAUUCAUUUUGGUCCUUUGGUUUUGUUUUUUUUAUUAUAAAAUUAGCCGUGUGUGUCCACUCAGAAACCUGGACACAGAUGUUCAUAGUGGCAUUAUUCAUAAUAGCCCAGACCUGUAAACAAUCCACAUGACCGUCAACUGAGAAACAGAAAAACAAAAUGCAGGACCUCCAUGCGAUGGCGUCCUCCCCGACAGCAAAGGGACAGAUAUUCCUGCGUAUACAUGACGUACACCUGAUACUCACUACAACAUGCAUACGCCUCAAAAGCAUUAAGUGAAAGAAGCCAGAUGCAAAAGGCCACAUAUUGUUUGAUUCUUUUUAUAUGAAACUUCCCAUAAAGGCAAAUCUGUGCAAACAGCAAGAUCAACAGUAGCUGAGGUUGGAGAUGGGAGUGGUGGUUAACUGCAAAUGGCAUGAAUGAUCUUUUUGGAGUAAUGGAAAUGUCUCAAAACUGGAUUGUGGUGAUGAUUGCACAACUCUAUAAAGGUAUUAAAGAUUUUUGAGGCCAGACACCAUGGCUCACUCUUGGAAUCCCAACACUUUAGAAGGCGAGGCUGGAGGAUCGUUGGGCCUAGGUGUUCAAGACCAGCAUAGGCAACAUAGUGAGAUCCCAUUUGUACAAAA